CCAUGUGUAGCGGUGAAAUGCGUAGAUAUAUGGAAGAACACCAGUGGCGAAGGCGGCUGUCUGGUCUGUAACUGACGCUGAGACUCGAAAGCAUGGGUAGCGAACAGGAUUAGAUACCCUGGUAGUCCAUGCCGUAAACGAUGAGUGCUAAGUGUUGGAGGGUUUCCGCCCUUCAGUGCUGCAGCUAACGCAUUAAGCACUCCGCCUGGGGAGUACGACCGCAAGGUUGAAACUCAAAGGAAUUGACGGGGGCCCGCACAAGCGGUGGAGCAUGUGGUUUAAUUCGAUGCUACGCGAAGAACCUUACCAGGUCUUGACAUCUUCUGCUAACCUAAGAGAUUAGGCGUUCCCUUCGGGGACGGAAUGACAGGUGGUGCAUGGUUGUCGUCAGUUCGUGUCGUGAGAUGUUGGGUUAAGUCCCGCAACGAGCGCAACCCUUAUUGUCAGUUGCCAGCAUUUAGUUGGGCACUCUGGCGAGACUGCCGGUGACAAACCGGAGGAAGGUGGGGAUGACGUCAAAUCAUCAUGCCCCUUAUGACCUGGGCUACACACGUGCUACAAUGGACGGUACAACGAGUCGCGAAACCGCGAGGUCAAGCUAAUCUCUUAAAGCCGUUCUCAGUUCGGAUUGCAGGCUGCAACUCGCCUGCAUGAAGUUGGAAUCGCUAGUAAUCGUGGAUCAGCAUGCCACGGUGAAUACGUUCCCGGGCCUUGUACACACCGCCCGUCACACCAUGAGAGUUUGUAACACCCAAAGCCGGUGAGGUAACCUUC
rnacentral:rRNA from 1 species